AUAAUGUUAUUUCAGACAAAAACACAAUUCAUUCAGGGAAGAUCUAAACGAUGGCAUCAGAAAUAUAUGAUAUUGAAUUAAUGGAAAAUGAAUUGGCCAAAUUAUAUACUUAUACACAGACAAUACAAGUUGGAGAAGAGAAUUUGAAGACCGAUGAUGCCAUUAAGAAUGCAGAAUCCCAUAUCAAUGGCUAUAUUCAGAAUGCUUUAAAUGAUCACAGUUUAAGCAGCGAAGCUCACCCCAACAUACAAAUCCCUUUCUAUGAUGCAGGUUUAAAUAUCGAGAAAAAUGAUUGUUACCACACACGUAUAUACACGAUCAGUUUUAAUAUUCUCUCUGUUAAGUUUUGGAACGAUAAAGUUAGGAAGAAACUGGUUGAUUUAUAUUUCGGAGCCCUUCUACAAAAUGUUAUCUCAGCGAAACUGGUGUCUGAAAAAGUUGUCGAAUCACUGAAAGCAUUUAAACGUGACCCUACUUCACACGAUGCUCUUACUCAGGAUGUAGAGCCCGGAUGUUCCAAUAUUCCAGGCGAUAACUGCUGGGAGAAGUUUUUGAAUUAUUGGCUAGUUGUUCCACGGGUGCAGUGGGAUUUUUUUCGAUCUUCUUUACCAGAUGUAUACGUUCGAUAUUUUCCACCAAGGUUUUAUACCAAAAUAUGUACAUUUUUUCACUAUAUCAACGAAUGUUAUGCUUUCGAUGAUGUUCUUGGCUCAGUUCAAUAUUCCAUCCUUAGGGGAACUCCGAUAUUGAAAUGCAUUUUCUGUUAACUUUGAACUCGUUUUAUUUUUUGUCCUAGGCUUGGCGUACAUAAUCAUGGGAAUCCUUCGGAAGAGCUGGGCGUGGGGUCUUGCAACGUUUCUGGUUCUGAGAGUUUUAAACAUGACGGGAAAUCUAUGGUAUUACAGUUAUCGUACCAAAGGCAACUCAUGGUACAACCCAACCAAUCUGUAUACGCAUCCGUUAAUUUGGAGCUACGCAAUGUCUGUAAUACAGGCUUCGUCGCAUAUGAUUGUUCCGCAAAUGGCACCUAACAUAACAGGAGUUCAACACUGGGAAUCCUUGCAUAUGUUUUUCAUGAUGAAAAGGAAAGAGACAGCAUCAACAAUUAAACAUAUAUGCUUUGUUAUCCUGUCUUUGCUAUUAUUUUCAAUUUUAUCAGUCGCUGUUGCCUGGUUUUCAUGGCCACAUUUAAUUGGAACGGAGGUUAUCUAUAUUAUGGCAAGCAUAGGAUACAGACCGAAAUUUUUUGAGAAAUAUUUCAGAAUUGUGGAAAAGGUUGAACUGCAUGGAAACCCUAUAAUAGACACUUUCCCUACAGAUCACAAAGACAUAAAAAUGACUUUACCUGCGCAUGUGGAAGCAAUGAAGGAAAAUGGGAUAAUAUCCGAAAACGCUUCUGACUGUGAGGUUUUUGCAAGUAUUGCAACAUUAAAGUUGGCAUCCAUGUAUCUUAGGCGAGGAGUGAAGAAAUCAAAUGUAAAAAAGAGGAAAACGCAGAAAAAUGCUGUCAAUGAGAUGCCUGUGACUGCUCAAGUUAAUGACGAAUGCAAACAUUUGGAUGUUUUGCUAGCCGCAAGAAAAGGCUUUAUUGGGAAAUGCAAUAAAAGUAAAUAGAUCUAGAAUCAUUGAAGAGUAUAGUUUAGCACUUCGAUGACAGUUUUUGUGUGAAUUGUCACGAUAUGUCUCAGUGCCUCGCAGACAUGCGUAUUAAAUUUUAUUAUUCA